UGCUGCUACUGCUACUACUACAACUACAAGUACUACUACUACUACAACUACUACUAAUUCUACCACUACUUCUACUGUAACUAACGAACUCUAUGCUUUUAACGACCACUACUGCUGAUUACAAUCCAAACUCUGCUACGAACGCGCGAACCAAACUACCACCUACUACAACCCACGAAGCGCCGCGUUUGUGUCGUGCUUUUAUUUUGAAAAACGACACGCAAAAUGAACCAGUCACGUUACCUGUGCAAAGCGAGGCCUCGUUUGUCAUCGGUCACGUGGUUUUCAGCAAACUGAUGCAAGCCUCGAAGCGGAGCUUCGCCAGACACGCCCCCUUCAUACUCGGUACACGCCUCGAAGCCUCGGCUUCAAACGUCCCAUCACUACUGCCUGCCUGUCUUCUGCUCCUCGUCUGCCUGUGGUUGGUAGGCUCUCAGCCUGUUCGUGUUCCAUAAGGGACCCCUCUCCACCCCCCACCAGCUCACCUCCUCUGGAGCCAUCAGCCCUGUCCUCCAGGUUCGGAUCCACACCCUGCCCUCAUCUGAACCAGUGUCUAGUCAGACUUCCACUAGCAGUGAGGUCUUUGUGCUUUUCCCCUUCCACACUUGUUGAGCCUGUAGUGAACUUUUGGACAAUUAUCUGCUCACGAGUCCCCUUCACUCCCUGCCCUCCCGUGGUAGCGUGCUCGCCUGCCACUCGGGAGGCCCGUGUUUAAAUCCAGCCUGAUCCGCUGCAUUAUUGACUGUGUAUCUACCUUACCUACAAAUAAAGACCGUUUGAAACAAGAAAAAACCUGGUUCAUUUGUGCUGCAAUUGGGUUAACUCUAAACCUCUUUGAAUAAGAUUGUUUUGGGGAGACAGAAUUAAAAUAUAGAAUUUAGUCUGCUGAUUUGUUGUUUACUGUUUCAAGUUAAAUCCUGUGUUUAAGGGGUAACCUGCCGAAGAUCUCUCUGUCCAGAAAUUAAAGGAACAUCAGUUCUGUAACCGUACUGCCAUCCUGUCUUUCCUCCAAAUAAUAGAAAAGACUUAAAGGUGGGGUAGGAAGGAAUCUGCUAAAGAAGUAACUUUUUUUGUGGUAUGUAUAUACAAAAAAGCUAUUAAUGUCAAUCAAUAGCUAUUAGUUAUUGAUGACAUUUUGGUAAUAUCACGAUAUCACUGUGUUCUCCUACACCUGUAUCUAAUAAUUUUGAGCUUCCCACUCAUUUUGACUGUAAACAAAACCAUUCUCCACCUCUUCAGCCCUAGAGGUGGAGGUCGGCUAUGCGACUACAAAGUGCAUGCUCUGGAGCAGACCCAAAACAAUCUUUUCUUGUAAUAAUGGUGGAUAGUGAAAAGCAGCUGGAGAAGCUGGAGAAAAAGCCGUGUCCUCCUUUGGCCAGACUGCCUACACACCAAUAGUCCAAGGACUGUAGCUGAAAAACAGGCACUCAAGAAGAGGAGAGAUCAGGCAAGAAAAUAGGUCCCAAAUAAAUAUUGGCAUAGCCACUUAACGGUGGAAGACCAAUUGACAUUUAAGAAAUUCUAAAUCAGAUGCGAGCUUUGCAACUUUCCUACUGGAUAGGUCAAUUGCAAAAAUCAUUUAUUUUUUGUUGUCUUGUGCCCUACAAGAUGUCCUGUUAGUUUAGUCACUGAGAAACCGCAAACAAAGUGUUAGCAAGUAGCCUGUAAGCAUGUCUACAUUGGCACCAGUUGACUGAGUUGUAGUUGAAAUAAAGUAAGCAAAAUUACUGUAACAGAGUUGUUUUAUGUAAAACAGGACCUGUUACUGCCUUUAAUAUUUAUCUGGGGUCCUGAAAUAUGUCAUGUUAUCAAAGUCCUUCAGACAAAGGGUUGGCAGGUAGCCUGUUAGCAUGGAUCUACAUUGGCACCGGUGCUAUCUGCUUCACACUGGCUGUGCUCCAUGGAACUGAUGCUUCAUAAGUAGUAUUUAGUUUAAGUGUUGUUUUUGACUGUCAAGCAGCUUACAAAAGUUUACAGAUAGGAGUAUAUGCAAGGCACCAUAGAAACAAGUUGAUCUUUUUUUUAGCAAAGUCCAUGUCUGUUUGUAUCACUAAAUUGCUGAAGGAAACUUUGGUUGAGUAAAAAAGCUUUUUCAGUGCAGAGUGGUGACUUUUUUUUGUCUUUUGAUAGCUAUGAGAAAGUAGGAUUGGCCCCUUCAUCUAUGCCUUACAACAAGAAAAGAAAGACCAAGCACUUACUGCCUCCUCCCCCACAGCUGAGUAUGUAUGCUGAGACCCUCUCAGACAGGGAAUCGCAGCAUGCAUGGAGUCUUUUAUAUUACAUUUGUGUGGUAAAUGAAACUAAUUGUGCCACAAUAGCAAACUAAUCUAAAAAAAUGAGAAGAAAUAGAAGAAAUAACAUUGCUUUCAUGCAGAGCAUUGGAAUUUGGAACCAAGAAUUCAGACCUCUUUGGUGGGGUUUUCUACUUUGUUACACAGGACAGGCAGAGCGCUACAAAAGGAGCAGUGGUUGAAUUGGCUUCCUACUGUUGGUUGUUGAGAACACUGUGCAUGACAUGGAUGAGAAUCAACCUCCAGAAAUGACACAACCAUCACAAGAGCACAGGUUGAGUGUGAGGAGGACUUCAUUGGACAUCAGUUCUUAAAGCCUGAUCUAUGCAUGUGUCUGCGUCGUUUGGCACUCAGCCAAUUCUCUCACCUGAAGGCAACUUUUUAACCCAAUUUUAACCGGUUUUAAACUUUUAAGGCUGCAAUUUAGGCGUUUGCUUACUUUUAAGUUGAACUUCUACCGUGUAUCGGUUUUAAUUUUUUUAUUUGUUGCAGUAGAUAGCAAGCAAGCUGCCGCUUUUAUCUGGUUUUAAAAGGUUCUGAUUGUUUUUAAUACAUUGUGCCCUGAGCAAAGGAUUACUUUCUCUUUUUACUGGACAAAAGGUUUAAGUCAUUGGACUUUGGGAUUUCUACACUUUUACUGAGUGAGCUACAUGGCAACCAUGGAGGUUACCGCCAUGGAAGCUUACUUACCUGCAGAAGUACGACAACAACUUUAAGGGAGCCAAGAAAAAGAUCACCGAUCUUUUUGAUGUCCACCAGAUCCCAGUUCCUAUGGUUUUAGUUCCACCUCUGACUAGGGUUGGGUAUCGAGAAUCGAGUAUCGAUGGGGACCGGGACUAACAUUUAGAUUCUUCCAGUAUCGUUCAAAUAUUAAAAUUUAGAUUCCAAGUUUCGAUGCCAGAGUCAUCGAAAUGCCGGAAGAAAUAGCCGCUGAAUAUCAACGAAGAAGAAGCCGCUUAACACCAAUGAGGACGGAGCGUAUGAGACGAAGCCACACAGAAAGUGAAGAGAGACAGAGAGAGAAAGUUAAUUGCAACCCACAGCAAUGCAGCCGCUGUGGGUUACAAUGUACUCUCUCUCUCUCUGUCUCUCUCCUUUCUCUGUGUGUGGCUUCGUCUCAUACGCUCCGCCCUCGUCGGUGUUCGGCAGCUUCUUCUUCGUUGGUCAAAAGUUUGGCUAACCUUAGCAGGAAGAAUAAACUCUUAUCUCAAUGCAACAUUAGCAAUACAGUUAUAUCAUGCAAAGGAGGGUAAACGACCAACAUGAUUAAACACCUCAGGAUUCAUGGUGGAGAAAUACCAGAGUUCUCGUCUUUGACGCGCUUCGCUGGUGUUGUGCCAUAGAAUGCACCCCUGCCGUUGAAUGCACCCCUGACGGGAGCACGGUUUAAAGUACACAACAAGGCGAAACAAUCCAAGUUUUUCUUACCGUUGAACGGAAUCUAAAGCGUGUGCCUUUAAUGAUUUCAUUCAGGUUAUUCAGAUAUGCCGAAAACAACAGCCCUCUGAUUCGGAAUUUUACUGUCCCGAAAAUAUAAUGUUCUCUACCUUAACAGCUUACUGUACAGUUUAUAUACCCAAGUACACCUCUAUGUGUGCAUUUUUGAGACACAUAAAAACAAAACGAAAGUUUACUGCUCCAUUUGACAUGUUUUCAUGAUCUAAUACUCGUGGGUUUUUUUAAAUAUGAGAUCAUUGUCUUCCACUUUAAGAAGCUAAUGAGUGGAGGGGAGGCAUUCUACAGCAGGGGUGCAUUCUACAGCACAACACCUGUCUUCCGCUAACCAGUCAGGAUCAGAUAAGUGAAACAAUAAAUUGCUUCUGUCCUCUGCUAUCUUUGAAGCGGUAAACAAUUUGUACUGUGUACGGUGAGUUAACUUAAAUAUCCAACUAACGUUAGCCCUUGUACUUUUUCAUAGACGAAUGACCCGACAACAAAAAUUGAUGUUUAUAUACUGGUUGAAAAUAGCCCUGUGGGAAAUUCAUAGCAAAGUUCUUAAAAACUUAAUAGAAUUUGAAAACUCAUGGAGAAGUUCAGAAAUUUCAUCCAAAAAGAAGAGCUCCGGUUAGCACCCUCAUUCAAACCAUGCUUUUUUUUUUUUUUUUUUUUUGGAUAUCCUGCCUUUUAAAAGAAUCGAAAUAGAGAAUCGAUAGGAAUCGGUAUCGAAAUGAGGAAUCGAAUUCGGAAUCGUUCAAAAUCAAAUGAUACCCAACCCUACCUCUGACCCACACAAUACUGGACAUGGACCUUCUGUUUUCAUUAACUAUCCACCCAUUCCUGUCAUCAUCACUUAGCGUGAGAAAACCAGACUCCAUCAUGUUCACUCUGUGAACUUAAAUAACCUCAGACCUCUCCCAAAACAUCAACAGUCCAAUCGUACAGUCUGUAAGUCACCGGUCACCAUCAGCAUGGCACUUUUAAAUGUUCACUCCCUUUAAACAAAUCUUUUAUUAUCCAUGACCUUAUUUUAGAUAACAAGGUUGAUUGUUUAUUCUUAACUGAAAUGUGGCUGGGUACAGACAUGCCAGUUAUUCACAUUGAGGCCUCCCCACCUAAUUUUAACUUUACAUUCUACAUUAGAAGUGGCAAGAAAGGUGGUGUCUAAAAGGCAUGCACCAUUAUAGUUGCUGACUUUAUUUUGUUACAAGUUGUUAAGUGUUUGCUGAUGUAAUUGUUAAUAAAAUGCACAUGGAGCUUUAAUGAUUUAUGAGAAAAAAAACUGUGACAGCAGUGUAAUGUAAAAAGGCGUAUAUACAACAAAAUACAAAGGUAAAAAGAACAAAAAAAAAACUCACUUCAAUAAAAAAUAUUGCAGUAAAGCAUUGACAUUGCACAGAAAAUUGUAAACAGGUUCCACUAUGUACAUCCUUUUAAAUGACUCAGGGUAUGAGUACAUCAUAAAAAAAAACCCUUGAAACCCUUUGAGAAAUGAAUCCUGCGUCAUGUCCAUGUGGAUCUGGGUAUUUUCCCCUGAUUCUCCAAAGCCAACAACUUGGAAUUACCACUCUGUGCCCCCGUACCAGUGCUCCGUAUUGCCAGACAACUAACUGUCUAUAUGCACCAAACUGGAACUGUUUAUUGUUCUCUCCAGGGUCAGGGCUGUCAACAGUGGCUCGAAUGUCAUUUCAGACCCUUCUAGUUAAUUGCAAAACUCUUACCUGUAAGAUAUAAGCAUCCAUAUGUGGGAGCAUGGACACACAAGACCCACAAUACUUGGUCUUUUCCCUGCAUCUUCCACAGGUGCACCCUGGUAGUGGUGGUACACUAAGGCCAGGUUAACUGGUUGGGUCUUGAGAACCACUUGGGGCUGUGGCAGGCAGUACUUAAAAAAUGAGUCUGGAGUCCUUCUCCAAACACAGCCCCAUCAGUUGCUGCAUCUCUGCCAGUGCAAGUGUCCUUAUUCCAGCCUGGAAAAAAACACAUCAAACAACUUGUUACAAUCUUGUAUUUAGAAAUGGCAUGCCAAAAUUGAUUUAUAUGAAACUCACAAAAACUCGCUCAUCUUCCAUUCUCUGGGCUUGAAGGGUCUUCAAGCAGACAAGUUCCUCCUGUGCCAAUGCAUGGGGACCCUGGUCUCUUCGUUAACCUCUCGGUUGAGCCUCUGCCCCUGCCGUGUCCUCAACCCCUGUGGCUUUGCUGUGCCAGCCUUCCUCCUCUACCUCACCUCCCCUGCGUGCCUCGUCCUGCUGUGAAUGGCAUUGGAGAGUAUUCAUCCCCAGAGUCAAGGCUCUCUUCUUGAACAAGCUACAAUAAAAGUUUUGUUUUUAAUUUGCCACCAGAUUGUUUUGUAAGCUUUUCUAUAAAUGAGGUUUGUUUCUGAGACUAAUUUUAUGUUGUGUGCAAACCGCCAAUGCUGCCAUGCCUAGCUAAUACAGGUUAAGCUACCUGAGCUGAGUUUUUUUUCAGUUUAGCAAAUUAUAUGUUAAAAUAACACAGUAGGCAGCUGUGAGCAGUAUGUCAAUGCUAAGUUUACUUGUUGUUUGAUGUUUUCUUGCCUCAGAAUCAGACAUGAUUUAACUCUUCCGAUGGUCAAUCAAUUAUAGCACCAGUAAAUUGGAAGCAGUGUUACCAACUCCACUGUAAGGGAAGUCGCUUUUGGCUGUUCUAGAAGUCGGUAGAAGUCAUUAGAUGACGACAUGUGUGUGUUUAUGUUUACUGUUGAUGCACACCCUCUACCUGUUGACAAGAUUCACAUCAAUACCUGCUUGAUGUCAGAGUCUCCAAACUCCAGAAAAGUCGUUAGAUUUGUUGCUAAGCACUUUAACAAUGUUACAGAUAAAGACUAUGGGCCUGAAAUACUAAAGGAUUGCGUGUUCUAAAACAUAUGCAAACUUGAUAGUGGGUGCACCAACCAUUGUGUCUGUCAAAUUAGCAAAGUAGCACACACGAUCCAUUUAAUGUGUUUGCCUUCAUGAAUAUGCAGAUUGUAUGUAGGUCAUCAGACUGCGCAAAAUUCUGGGAGGAGAAGAUGCAAAUGUAAUCAUUUAGCAUCCGCAAUUUGAUUUAUCAAACCUGAAACUGAUUAGCGCCCCCUGUUUUAUAUCUAUACUUUGCCAGUUUGCACCUGCCUUUCCAACGUGCUAAGCGUUACGCGAAAAUGGCUGCAGUCAUGGCAAGAAGGAGGCAUACAUGAAAGGCGACAGAGAGCGAGAAUCUUCCAUGAGCGUGUGAACAUAUUUGGUCUUUCAGAGAGUAAAAUAGUAGAGAUGUAUCAUUUAUUCAGCUAUUUAACUUUUCAGCUGCUGGAUGACCUAAGGGGUGAUUUGGGGCUAGUCACAAAAGGAUUCGUGCCAUACCUCCUAUGGUAAACUCCUUGUAACACUGCAUUUUCUUGCAUCUGGAUCAUUCCAGUGCACCAUCACAAUUCGUGCCGGCGUAUAUGACACAAAACAUAGCUUUUAUGCAGUUGCUGGCUUCCCUCAAACCAUAAGUGCAAUAGACUGCACUCAUGUGUAACUUGUUCCCCUCUCAGAUAGGGAACAUAUGUAUCGGAAUUGCAAGCACAAACAUUUUUUGAAAUUUUAAGUUGUGUGUGACUCAGAAGAGGUAAUUACAAACAUCUUUGUGAAAUACCCAGGGUCAGUGCACUCAUCCUUAGUGUUACGACCCGGCCUAGGGGUAUGCCGGACGCAACAUAAAGUGCUCCCUUCCUCUGCCCCAACUCCCCAAGAAAACCAACAAUCAACAACAGUUAGCAGUCUUAAAUUAAUUUAUUGUUAAACAUAAAUGGUAGUUAACUUCAGGGUGGGCACAGGCCAAAACAACAAACAAAACCUCUUAUUUAAAACUACCUUACCUCACAAACAAAAAUGUAGUAAAUAAAAUACAGGGGGUCUUACCUGCCUCCCUAUCCAAAACACGAGAAAAGUCUGAAAUGAAAUAGCUGCCCACCCCUACCUACCAGACUGCUCUUAACACAACUUAAACAAUUUGUCAUGAAGACAAAUCAAAAUUCACAAAGUUUUCCACAAUUUUCAACACAAAAGAGCCUCCACGAAACACAGGUCUUGCUGGGAGUUGAGACAAAGGAAAUGAGAGAGAGAGCUCCUCCAGCAGUCACCCUUUUAACAGCUUCCCUCCUCAGCUGCUGUCCAAUCAGGCCAGAGUCCUCUCCUGAAAAAUAAAACAGACACAGGAACAGCACCUACCACAGGUAGGGAGGGUUACCCACAAACAAAAUGUGCUGCUGAAAAAAAGAAACAGGAAACAUAUGACCCCAGGUCAUAACACCCCCCUACCUAAGAUCAAACAUUUAUACUCUCUAAAUAAAUGUUUGAAUCACUGAAACAUCAAAAUUACCAUAGCACCCUAAACACAACAUGAGGCACACCUCAACAACCUACCCGAGACAAUGUAUCAGCUACCAGAUUAUCCGCCCCUUUAAUGUGGCGGAUCUCAAUAUUGUAGUCCUGUAACAGUAAGGACCAACGCAUAAGGCGCUGGUUGUGGUUGCGCAUGCGUGACAAAAACACAAGGGGAUUAUGGUCAGAAAAAACGAUAACCGGAAUGGGACUGGAACCGACAUAAACUUCGAAAUGCUGUAAAGCAAACAGUAAGGUGAGGGCUUCCUUUUCUAUGGUGCUGUACUUAAACUGAUAUUUAUUGAACUUCUUAGAGAAGUAGCACACGGGAUGGUCGAUGCCUUUAUCAUCUUCCUGCAAAAGGACCGCACCUGCGCCAUAAGCACUGGCAUCUACCUCGACCUUAAAGGGACGGUCAAACACAGGUGCCGACAAAACGGGUGCACUACACAGAAGAGCCUUGGCGGAAGCAAAAGACUCCUGGCACAUGUCAGUCCACUCGAACUUUACAGCAGGGCUAACUAAGCUAGUGAGGGGUGCAACAACACUGGCAAAGUUCCUACAGAAGCCUCUGUAGUACCCACACAUGCCCAGAAAACGCCGGAGUUGUCGACGUGUUUCUGGCACAGGAAAGUCCAGGAUGGCUUGGACUUUGGCCGACAGGGGGCGCACUUGUCCCUGUCCUACCUGCUUACCCAGGUAGGUGACCACAGCUUUUCCAAAUUCACACUUUGCUAAGUUUAAUGUGAGUGAAGCAGUUUCCAACCUUCUGAACACUUCUCCUAGGAUGUUAACAUGCUCGGGCCAGGUGGAGGAGUAACAGACAAUAUCAUCCAGGUAGACUUCACAAUUCUCCACACCUGAAAGGACUCUAUUCAUCAGCCGUUGGAAAGUGGCCGGCGCAUUCCUCAACCCAAAAGGCAUCAUGGUGUACAGCAAGAAGUGAUCAGGGGUGACAAAAGCAGAGAUGUCGGAUGCACGUUCUGUAAGGGGCACCUGCCAAUACCCUUUAAGAAGGUCCAACUUCGUUACAUACUUGGCCGACCCCACACGAUCUACACAGUCAUCCAUACGGGGCAAGGGAAAGGAGUCGGGCUGGGUGAUGGCAUUCACUUUACGGUAAUCUGUACAAAACCGUGGAGUUUGGUUGGAUUUGGGAACCAGUAAGGAGGGGGAGCUCCACGGACUACAGCUGGGCACAGCAAACCCAUUCUCUACCAAAUACUCAACUUCUUUACGCAUCGCGGCCCGCUUUACUGGGUUAACGCGGUAUGCGUGUUGCUUUAUUGGCUUGCUGUGACCAACAUCGAUAUCAUGUUUCAGCACAUUAGUUUGACUGGGUGUGUCAUUAAAAAGAUGCUUGUGGCGACGGAUGAGACAGCAAAUGUCGCGUUUUGCCGGAUCAGACAGAUACGACAGAUGCUCCUCGAGAUUUUCCAAGACUCUAGAAUUUUCUAAGCGAGCACACUGAACUGAGCUUGGCUGCUCACGCAGCCCGUCCUCCUCUGCACUGUAUGAGGGGGACACCACAGGUGCCACACAGGCUACAGGCUCAACGAAUUGCACGUCAUCAUUUUCACGAGCGACAUAUUUUUUUAACAUAUUCACAUGACACACACGGGAUUUUCGCUUUCUAACACCAUUCGUCGGGGACCAUCUUCUCAUCAAAACACCAUCAUCAAACAGGAAACACACAAGUUUUGUUUUUUCUUUAUUUUGUGCAGCGGAGAGACAAUUCACCAGCGUGCCAUCGGCUUGCUGCGCCUUAAUUAGUUCCUCUUUACUAACAGAUAAACACAAAUUUUCUUCCAGCUGCACAUCAACAGACACGGUAACACUUUCAUUUUCUGUCACUUCCUCAAACUUACGUGCUUGGGCACGCGUCACGACGCACGAGGGGAACACAGGCUGUAUCUCAGGCUCAGCAGGGCAGACGCACACAUCAGCAGCGGGAUCGUCCGUCACCUCAGGACUGCUGGGGAACACUUUACCUCCUGCCAAAUCAUUCCCGAGGAUGAGGUCGACCCCUGCAAUCGGCAGCUGAUCGCGCACGCCAACCCGCACCGGGCCAGACACUAAGGGGGAGAAGAUAUGGAUGUUAUGAAGUGGCACACGAAUAACGCUCAUUUUUAAUCCCCACAACAACAAAUCAGACCCACAAUAUGACAUGUGAGAAAAUGGCACGACUCCACGUCGAGCAACAGAAUGUUUUGCCGCAGUGUCCCUUAAAAUAGUUAUCGGGACUCUGUCUGCCUCACACCCGGACAGCGACACGAAACCUUGUGUCACAAAUGGUUUAAAGUCAUCGUCUAUUUCUUUAGGCAGCUGAUCAGUCGGCCGUUCUUGUUGCUGAAACACUGUUUGUGACUGGAUCAGUGCCACUGGUGAUGGACUUUUAACUUUAGCCUGUUCUUUCUGUUUCAACACUGGGCAGACGGCGAUGAAGUGACCGGACUGGUGGCAAUAAAAACACAGCCGAUUUUCACCGUUGGCAGUUUCGCCACGCCGGGACAAUCUUGGGGAUCUCCGUUUAUUUUCAAUACGAACGGGCGGAUCACGGCGCACAGAGGACAUGAACACACUUUUAUGAGUGAGCGCAAACUCAUCAGACAGGACUGCUGCCUCAGCCAGAGACGCAACCUUCUGUUCAUUUAGAUAGGUGACCAUGCGCUCAGGUAGACACUUUUUAAAAUCCUCCAGCAGUACCAGCUCACGCAGCUUGGCAAAAUCAUUAACUCUACUGGACUGACACCACUUAUCAAAAAGAGCCCCUUUAUCUCGAGCGAAGUCGACAUAGGUCUGUUUUUCACUUUUCACACAUGAUCUAAAUUUUUGCCUAUAAGCCUCAGGCACAAGCUCAUAAGCCCUCAGCACAGUAGCUUUAACAAUGUCAUAGUUUAAGCUCUGUUCAAGUGUGAGGCUGGCACAAACCUCCUGGGCUUUACCCACCAACUUGCAUUGGAGCAACAGGGACCAAACAUCCUUAGGCCAAUUAAGAGCAGCUGCUAUCCUUUCAAAUGCACUGAAGUACGAGUCCACCUCAGACUCUCUGAAGGAUGGAACAAGAGCAAUGUGUUUGCUCACGUCAAAACUGCUUGCAGAUAAGUGUGGGGUUUGCUGACUGGGUUGACUGGUGGUGCUAGGCAGGCGUUCCAGCUCCAAAGCGCUCACCCUCAGCUGCAUGGCCUGCACCUCCAUCUCCUUCAGGCGGAGGGUCAGUCUGAGCUCCUCAGCCGACAUCCCCAGCAACACAGGAGGGUCAGAAAGGGCGGCAGCGACAGGUGGAACUGCCUGUGGGGAUGCCACAUCAGCCUUCUCUGCACCUCCUAAGGGCAGCAAACCUCUAUCCACAAGCUGACCAGUUACAAGCUGAAGCAGCUCCUCCUUCUUAGGAUUCGCUGCCACAUCAAUAUUAUAUUGAUUUGCAAUGAGCAACAAAUCAACUUUUCUACAUUUUUGUAGCUGCUCUAAAGUGGGAUUCUUCACAAAAUUCUCCAAAUUAAACUCCAUCGUGCCAAAAAAUAUAUACCAACCAGAAUUAUCUUAAAUACACAACACUAGUACACAAGCUCAAGCAACAAUUGAGAUCCUGGCCGAGCCCCCAAUUUAUGUUACGACCCGGCCUAGGGGUAUGCCGGACGCAACAUAAAGUGCUCCCUUCCUCUGCCCCAACUCCCCAAGAAAACCAACAAUCAACAACAGUUAGCAGUCUUAAAUUAAUUUAUUGUUAAACAUAAAUGGUAGUUAACUUCAGGGUGGGCACAGGCCAAAACAACAAACAAAACCUCUUAUUUAAAACUACCUUACCUCACAAACAAAAAUGUAGUAAAUAAAAUACAGGGGGUCUUACCUGCCUCCCUAUCCAAAACACGAGAAAAGUCUGAAAUGAAAUAGCUGCCCACCCCUACCUACCAGACUGCUCUUAACACAACUUAAACAAUUUGUCAUGAAGACAAAUCAAAAUUCACAAAGUUUUCCACAAUUUUCAACACAAAAGAGCCUCCACGAAACACAGGUCUUGCUGGGAGUUGAGACAAAGGAAAUGAGAGAGAGAGCUCCUCCAGCAGUCACCCUUUUAACAGCUUCCCUCCUCAGCUGCUGUCCAAUCAGGCCAGAGUCCUCUCCUGAAAAAUAAAACAGACACAGGAACAGCACCUACCACAGGUAGGGAGGGUUACCCACAAACAAAAUGUGCUGCUGAAAAAAAGAAACAGGAAACAUAUGACCCCAGGUCAUAACAUUAGAAACAGUGUCCUUUUUGACAUGAUGCCAUGGGUGUGGGGGACAAUGACAACUGGUCACAUACGCAACAGAUCAAUGCUGCGGAACUGCAGACACAGGCCAAUCUUAUUCAAGUCAUUUCUCAUUAGCAAUUUGAGAUAUGCAUUUUUUUUUAAUUCUUGUGGUAGGAUGAUGUGUCUCCUCGCUUUUAGAAGAGUUUUAUUUGCCUGCUGUCUUGAGUACCCUGUCAGCCAAUUAACUCACGAGGGCACUCUAUAAAAGGGAGUUGUAGCAGCCUCCCCUUCUGCUUACUUUGGCCUUGCCCUUGCGGGUUGCCUCGCCCCUCUCCUCACACUAACACAGGGUGUCGGCUCUCACGACCAGUGCUGUGCAUAUAUUGUUGUCAUCGCCGCAUAUGAUACAUGCUUGGUUCGCUUCUCUCCCUCUUGGGGGUCUCUCACCUUGGCCUGAUUAGUGUGUAUGCCUUCCGUCAAUAUGACAAGCCUGCACCUCCAUCUUCUGCUCUUCUGGAUUAACCAGAGUUAAUUUUAUUUGUCACAGGGGCCAUGUGAGCUGGGUGUCUCCCUGGGGACUUCCAGCGGUGUUAAAUUAAUGUAAGGAAAAUGCUGUUUUGCUUUGACGCUGCAUUGCUUUAACGCUGCUUUGCUUCUGCUUUGCUUCGCAGCCUGUUUGCUGACUAGUGGCUACCUUGCUGCGGCUAUCCCAGCUCUGUGGCUGUGGUGUUCCUGCUUCUGUCUCACUGUGGCUGUCUAGCCCCUGGUACUCUGCUUGCUAACACUGCUGCCUCGCUGUUUUCCCUGCUGGCCCUGCUCAGACAGCAUUUGAGUUUAAUGCUGCACAGUAGAACAUAAACAAGGAACAAACUGUAACAGAUCCACAUGGCAGACAUGACCGAACUAUUUUAUUGAAUUAAUCCUUUGUGCUGAUCUUUCAUUAGCUAAUCUUGAGUGAACUGAUUUUACAGAGUGGUUGAACUAAUUGUGGGGCUAACUUCUGUUAGUAGUUUUGUUUAUUUUGUUCUGUUUUCCUCCUCCUUGGGUUUUCUAUUUUUUCCCCCUUUAUUUGCGUUAUUUGUAUUUCUUUGGUAUGAGUUCAUGGGGAACAUCUUUUUGGUUAACGGUGGGGUAGGCAGGAUUCCGUUGAAAAAAGAAUCUUUUUUUGUGGUGUAUAUACAAAAAGCUUUUAAUAUCAGUCAACUGCUAUUAGUUAUUGAUGACAUUUGGUAAUAUCAUGAUAUCCCUGUGUUCUUUUAUGCCUGUGUAGUCAACAUUUUAAUAUUUUUAAGUGGCCUUCUCUUUCUGACUGUAAACAAAGCCAUUCUCUGCCUCCCCCAACCUGAUUGAUUGUGAGGCAGACGCUGCUCCCUCAUGUUGUGAGGCACGCUCCACAUAAUUGGAUAACGUGCAUGAGCCCAAACAAAGUUAGCAUGCUACAAUAUCAGACAGUAGAAACUAACCAGAAAGUACAGAAUUGUCUGAAUACUCCUUUGGCUACGACUGCCAACACAAGUAAGAAAACGAUUAAAAGCGAUUAAAAAGGAGGUAGACCGGACAAGAGCUAAAAAGCCGGGUAAGCAUCAGCCAUUGGGAUCUUAUGGACCCUGUAACCUUUCUGCUGGACAGGUAAACAGCUUAACAAAGUGAGCUAAGUUUCUGUAACAGAAGUGCUUCUUGUCAAACAGGACCUGCUGCGAGUUGUAGCGCUGCUAAACUCUUUACGUCGGGUCCUGGAUUGUGUCACUUUUUUCAAGUUUUAGAAGUCCUGCAAACAUUGGUUUUGCCAGUAGUCUGCUGGCAUCUACAGUUGCACUAAUGCUUUUUACUUUCACGUUGACUAGGCCCCAUUUGUGAUUAUCUGAAGUUUUUAUCUGCAUUAUAUCUGAAAUUAAUUGGAACGAUACAAGCAAGUAGGAGUGUCUGUUUUUUGGCGUGGCUUGCUGGAACAGAGAGGGAGGAGAGGAGGAGCUGAGGGGAGAACUGGUUGGGAGGGGUAGUGUUUACAUUCAAGAUUUUUCCCAAAAACUGGCACUUCCUCAGAUCCUGCCUACCCUACCUUUAAGUUUGUUUCCAUGGAUUACCAUUGAAUCUUUAUUUCUUUUGUUUUUAGUCAAUUAUUUGUUUUUGCUUAAUCCUUUUUUUGCUCAAUUAGUGCAGAACAUCUUAUUUUCUAAUUUAAUUACGGGUUCUGAGUUAUUCUAUUAUGUUAUUCAGGUUUAAUAGCUUUGACAGCAUAUGUCUGAUUGGUUAGUUAGAAUAGAAUAGAAUAAAAUAGAAUAUUCCUUUAUUGAUCUGACUGAAUUUUUUUUUUGCCACAGCAGCAACACAGACAAAGAAAGUGCAAAAAUGCAGUUAUAAGAAUAAAGAUUGUGAUAUUAAGAACUUAAAUGUUACAAAGAAAAAAUUUAGAAAAGGAAAAAGGAAGAGGAAAAUAAAACUAUAUACAAUAUACACAAUUUAAGUACCAGAAGAAAAAAAAAACUGGAUGAAUAAAUGAGUAAGGAGAUGAACAACAGAUGAGGAGGUAACAGGAUGGUCAUGGUUAAAUAACUGUACAUGAAUGUUAUAUAUUAAAUAACUAAUAGGUUGCUAUCAUUUAUAUUGUUUAAUUAUAGUUUAUAGUUUGCCCUUUAAACUUAGCGUACCUGUUUAUAAUUUGAAGAACAGUGUUGCAGAUGAAGACCUUCUCGUCAGAUCUGUUCCUGGAGUGAGAUUCUGAUGUUUUGUUGACCUGACGGCUCUCUCUGCAGGUUUUAACACACUAUUAACACAUCACCUGACUUCCUCCCUCCUGUUCCUGCUGUGACUCUACAGUCCAUGUGAGGCUUUUGUCACCUGAAUGUAAACAAAUAUUUGUUCUGGAGGAGAGUCAGCCCAGUUAGCUAACAGGACAGAGGGAGGCAAAGGGGGUGGAGCAGGAAGCAGACGUGGAGCAGACGUCUGAACAGCCUGAUCCGUCCAGCAGUCCUGGCCUUGAUACCUAUUACAGGUACUUUUAGCUAUCAGAUGGCAGGGCAGUGCUGUACGGCAGACAGAAAAGACAUAAAAAGCCUUUCAGAAGACUCUCCCUAAGGACCCUUGGAAUAGCAAUCCCCCCAAAACCCCCUCUCAUUUGCUCCCAGAGCCCUGAACAGUCCCACAGAGCAGGAAAAAGAUCAGAUCAGAGCUGAACUAAGGAGCAGGCUUCAGGUUUCUCUCUGACAGACGGCCCUCUCCUGUCAAAACAGUCCCUGAGAGUGGCGACAAAGCCCGGGUCAGCACCCCGUCCCUGCUGCCAAAUCCUGCAUUCCAGCCGAGUAUUUUUAGUACCGGCAUUUAAACUUGGCAACACAUUACAGUAAAUAGCCAUACCAGCGGCACUAUUUCCUGUUCCUGUAAAAGACGGGGUGUGUGGGAGCACAAAUCAGCACCCAUUAUAAAAGACACCCCCAUGAAUGUUGGCAUGUGCACACAGUCAGUUAUUGAACUUUACUGGUUGAGGAGAGAGCUUAUAUCACUCUGUGGUGGAGGAAUAAAAACUCAAGAAAACUGGAACAGUCACUGACUUUAAUUGGCAUCAGACUGAGGAUAUUAAAUAUCUAGAAUUAAAUAUCUAUUACAGCUGGCACAUACUGUACAUGAACCAUGAUGACAACGUUUAAAAAAAGCUUCUCUAAAGUGGGAACUGCGAGGAAUAAAAAUUGACAAGAGAGCAAUAAAAAUUGACAAGAGAGCCUAAACAGCUCCUAGGUCCUUUUUUGAAUAAUCUGAAUUGCCCAUUUAAAAGCAAACGGUGUAAAUUGAAUCAGGAGGUUUCAAACAACUUUCAGGGUAUUAAAUGUGCAGGAGGUACACAAGAUGGUUGCAUAAAGUUCCUUGACUGUCCAUAAGUUUGUUUUGGAUGUAACAUAAAUCAAACUGAUAAGCUUGCUCUUGUUCUUUUCACAUAACAGGUUUCAGCUUUUCUACUCAACUACAGCAGUCUCCACCCACUACAUGAACCCCCCUCCUUCUACUGUGCUUCUUUAAAUGCAGAAAACACUCAGGUCACUGUGGGGGUCAUGUCCAUGCAUGAACUGAUAUUGUAUCCACUGAAAUAAUUGCAUUGGACAGCAAGAACGAAAGUGACUCUACAAAUUGACUCAUACCUUUAUGCAUGUGGGUGUUAACAGCUUCUCACUUGACAUGUUCAAUGCUGUUGUGGUACUAGUUCUAUCUUUUUAAUGGGAUCACUGAGUCAUAAAUGUCAUCACAGACAAAUAAGCACAUAUUAAAAAAAAAAAAAAAGGUCAAAUACUCCUUAAAAUCUGUUUGAACAUGUCUGUGUUUCUCUAAUCUCCAUCUUUUCUCUUUUGCUGUUUCACUCAUUAGACUUUCCUCUGUGUAGCACACCUCAUCUCAUACAUACAAAGUCUCUACAUGGCAGAGGCCCCAGCAGGGUUCGACUUGAUUUUCUUAUUAAAACAACAGAGGGAGAAGAUGAGUCACCUCAGACCACAGUAUGCUGGACUGAGCUUUCAUCUAAGACAACAGUUUUCCCACUUUGUUCCCUUUGUUUUUUUUAACCCCUCUGGUGAGUUUUAACUGUGAGUGCCACAGUCAAGUGCACCUGAGUAUCCUGUUUCAACAUACUGAGGCUGAGGGCAAACAAAUGUGAAAACAGGGUGUCAGACGUCACCUUAAAACUUACAUGUGCUGGACCAGAAACCGAACUGAAGGCAGGUAUCAAAAAUAUAUUUAAACCCCUCAGAAACUUUAAUCUGAGCAGCAAAAUCCAGACUUAACCAUGCAGAAAAUAAAACAAAAAAACUGAGAUCCAAGCGCUGCUUUUACAAUGAGAGUUAUUAGGAGAUUUUAGUACAAUGUGCAGAUAACAGGUGUCAGAGCCAUUAUUAGAUGCACUAUGCUAGGUGUAACACAGUCAGUCCCAACUGACACUUCAACUUUUCAACCAUUUCUGCUGCCAGCUAAAAUGAGGUUGCAUCUGCAAAGUGUCACACAGCUUCUAUCCAUAACUCUGAGAAAAUGUUUAGUGCAGUGUUAAAAGAGUGAUAAACAUUAUUAUUGAAGGACAUUUCUACAAAACCAUGAUGCAGCAUUUGGUGAAGUCUGGUCGAAGCAAAGACCUACAUGUUAAACUGAUAAAGACAUCACAGUUCCCACUGGCUGCAUGACUUUAGCCGGUAGGUUCAGAAACACAGUUUACACACAGUUUUCCCUCCAUAGAGGGAGAAUAUGCCUAAGCUUUGCAGCUCUGACCAUGAUAACUCUUGGAUGACUCCUGUGAUGAAUCGUGUGACAGAAACACAUUUCCUCUUGAAAUCUGGCCUGAACGUAGACACUACAUGGUCCUAAAAAUAGUCUGAAUAAAAGAAAAAAAAAGAUGCCUCUGGAGUCAGUUGGAGUGACCGUCAUCAGUGCCAUACUGAGUCUCUAAAAGUCUUUCUGGAAAAAUGCUCACCAUAUUUCUGUGUUUUAAGAGAAGCUCUGAAAAAUGUUGUAGGGACCAGAACAGGGUGCUGAGAAGCUCAGAUAUCUGCAAUGUGGGUUCAGUUUAAUGUCCCUGUUUAAAAGGUCACGACCAGUUCACUCCAGGAGAUUGACAUACCUGAGAAAGCCAAAUGACCAAAUGAUAAAAACAAAUCUCACGUACUUCAUCAAUGGUUGAUAAUAACAUGUUCACAGAGAACUUGAACUGUGAAUUCAGAGAGCAAGUUCAGUUUAUCACCACCUGUAUUUAUGUGUUUUCCUGCUUUGACAGCGGAUGUAAUUCUGCAAUAUGAAAGUGGAAUGCAGUGACAUCCGAAUGAAUGGGCAUCUGGACAUGUCAGUAAUGCUCUGAGUGACACCAGACUCCAUACUGUGCAGCCAUUAGGGGACCAAACAGUCUCACUUGGCCCUAAGAAGACUCAUUUCCUAGCACUCAGAGCUUAGGAAACUGCUCUGACCAGCUCCAGCCUGCCAGCUAGGCUGGGCCUUUUAACAGAGAGGAUGCACCAAAACAGAGACUCAAUAGGCUUGAUUUGCGUGCCUUGCCAGCGGCGUAUCCCCCCUCCCUAACUCAGCACCUCCUAGCGGAAUAAGUAGGAGAGAGGGAGGGGAGAAAGCAUGGACUGAUGUUCUGGUCCGGGAGGUCCAGGCUUGCAGUGGCUGGAUCUAUGGUCACAUGAACAGACUUCCACGGGCUGAUGAUGCCAAAGCAGCCUGGGAUGAGGUGAGUAAUACCGUAUACCAGGUUUGCCCAGCUUUCCCAGCAUUGUCGCCAGAUGGUCACAACCAGAGGUAGCCCCUCAGCAAGUGUGGUGCUGAGCCCUGCAGAAGACCUGGGGUCCUCCACACUUCCCAAAUAAGCACUGAGGGGUUUAAUGACUUUGAGGUUGAACCCAGGGGUAAGACAAACAUUCUUCUCCACAAAUAAAGACACUCACAUCAAGUAUAUUUAACCACGUGUUACAAAGGUGUGUUGUCAAUCAAUCAAAUUUUAUUUAUAUAGCACAAAUUCACAAAUUUCAAGACGCUUUUCAAAGAACAAGAGCAGGUCUAGACCACGCUCAUUAUUUGAUGAUCAAGAACCAACCUAAGAUGGGUUUUGGCCCAUCUCAACUAACAUGAGUAGCAGUGGCAAGAAAAAACUUUUCCUUUUAACAGGCAGAAACCUUGGGCAGGACCAGACUCAUGUUAGACAGCCACCAUGCCGCUGCUGGGUUGGGGAGGAAGGUAGAGAGAAGAGGGGAGAGAGGAGAGGACAGGGGGAGAGAGCGAGAGAACAAGAUAAGGGAAGGCGAGAGAGAAUGAGUAAGGAGAGGGAGGGGGAGGGAGAGAGAGUAGAGAACGAGGGUGAGAGAGAGACAGGGGGCAGCAGAAACAACAGCAACAACAACAACAACAACAGCUCAUGUAAUGGUGAAACAAAAUGAGUUCAGUUUACAGGGUUAGGAUAUGAGUGAUUAUGGACAAUGUUAAAUUAAUGAAAUGUGAUUACAGUCAGCAGGCCUAAUAGUAGUCAACUCUAGUUUGUUAUUAAUGUCAGUAUUGUUAGUGAGGCUGAUGUUCAUGUCUGCAGUAACAGUCCAGAGGAAUUCAAGAGAAGAAGCUCAGGGCCUGAGGUGGACAAUCAUAGAUGAUGCGGCUAACAGUCCAAAGAAAUCCAAGAGAAGAAGAAGCUCAGGGCCUGAGGCGGACAAUCAUAGACGAUGCGGCUAGAGUCAGGCAGGUCUGCAGCAGCCAUCAGUCCGGAGCAACCAAGGGGCAGGGGGUGUCUGCAGCAACGGUCCAGAGGAGCCAAAGAGAUGGAGGAGCUCAGGGCCCAGGGUGGACAAUCAGGGAUGAUGCAACUGGGGUCAGGCAUUUCCGCAGCAGACCGUCUGCAGCAUUAGUCCAGUGGAAGCUAAGAGACUCAGAGACACUCAGAGACAGAAAACUGGUUAGUGACUUAUAUGGGACAUAAAUAUCUAAAGAAGAGAUAGAGACAGACUCUAGCUCAGUGUGCCAGAUAGCCCCGGCAGUCUAGACCUAUAGCAGCAUAACUAAGAGCUGGUUCAAAUCAGCCCCAACUAUAAGCUUUAUCAAAGAGGAACGUUUUAAGUCUACUCUUGAAAGUUGAGAGGGUGUCUGCCCCCCGAACCUCGAGCGGUAAAUGAUUCCAGAGGAGAGAUGCCUGAUAGCUGAAAGCUCUUCCUCCAUUACUACUUUUAGAGACAUUUGGUACAACGAGCAGGCCUGCAGACUGUGAGCGUAACGGUCUAGAUGGAAAGUACGGUACAACAAGCUUGUCGAGAUAUGAUGGAGCCUGGCCGUUAAGCGUUGAGUGUUGUGUGCACAGGUAAUAUUAAUGUAAUACAAAAAUUAACAUUGUAGACUGUGUAUAUCAACUUCAGGAAGAUCUGCAUCCCUUUGCUUCCAGGCUUUAUGUUACGCACAUAAGCGUCUGUUCUGGAUCAUGUCUCAGUCAUGGACUUUGACCAUUGAGCUGUCUCCCUUAUUUUGGUCUCCAUGUUCAGAAAAGUUGUCUCAAGACUGAAACCUACAGGCUCACUGUGUGUAAAACUCUAUUAAAAAAAGUGUCUCCAGAUUGUGUUAUUUUAGAGAAAAUAACUGUGUUAGCGUCUUCAGAUAAAACCACCUCUCCUGGAGUUUAACAAAAGUAAAGUUCAGCCCAUCAAAACUACUGAGGGAAUUGUAAUUAAUUUUUCACCCAGUGAGGAGGAAGAUGACGUCCAUUCUAUGUACAGUUUUUUAUUUACAUUAUGUAACAACAUGCAAAAUUUUAAUAUCCUCCAAAAAAAAAAAAAAGAAAAAAAAAAGAAAAAGAAAAUGAUGCAUUGGAGACCCUGUGAAUUGCGGAGUAUUUUUAUUUUCAUCUGCAUGCUUGGAGGUGCACAGGUCAGUGCCGUACACAGCGGUACCUUCAUGAGGUAACCUGGGCUAAGUGCUUCCACAGGCUGCUGCCUGCUUGUUCACUACUGUUGGGAACAUGAGGCUCUGGCUGCUUCACAAACAUCUGUAUUUGUAUGAGUGCAAUUCUGAAAGUCGCAGCAGUAAAUUUUCUCUUUUUUGUUUUUUUGCACAGACCCUCAUUCACCACACUCAGAGAGCUGGGCCAACCCACAGUGCUGCAUGUCGUGAUUGAUGAGCAUGACUUCUUUUCCAGAUGGAUGCCUGACUGCAGCAGGAUCUUACCUGCUGCCACAGCUCAGACUGCUGGAGGAGCUACAAACGCUGUCCAUCAGUGUGUGUGUUCACAUGUGUGUUUUGCCCUCAAGGGGCAGUGAGCAGCAGGUUGGUGGACAGCUUUCAGCAUCGCCUGUCUUUGAGCUUUCUGUGAAUGGUGCAAGGUUUUUGAUGUAUUUGCUCUUCAUCAGAAGCAGAUGCUUGAGCCUGCAGACAUUUCGAUACCUGAGAUGGGUAAAUCAUGCAGGCUUCAAGAUGUAACAGGAUUCAUUUUUUUAUUAUUUUUUAUUAUUUUUAAUUGUGUGAGGCAAUGUCCUCCUUUUAAUCAGCAGCUGUUGUAAAUAUAAUGAAUUAAAAAUGCAGAUACAGCUUGAAAACUGCAUUCAAUUAAGCCAAAAAUGUGUUUCCAGGUGGAUUUGCAGCUUAUGUGUAAUCCACUUGUACAGGAAAUGUGCUGUUUAUUUUUUAUGCCUGGCUUUACGUAAACACGAAUCCAACUGAGUUUUACGGAGGAAAAAGUAGAGUCCUGACAGGAAAGAGGUUCAGCUCAUAAACUCAUAUUAUCCAUGCCAGCACACUGUUGAGUCUAUCAUCAGUAAUUACUCAGUGUCCUGGAAAACACGGUCUUUAGGAAACAUGCUGUCGACACCUCAUGGGGAAUCUAACAGCCAGAAAAUCAGGCCCUUAUUCAAAAAUGUGUGACACUCAGAGUGUGGUUCACAGGUGGGGAGCACUCAUCAUUAAUUCAUUUUACAUGCCAGCCGGGCAGUUUGCCUCUGCGAGCUGCUCUGAAGUCUGCUCCAGUCCUGAAUUAGCACUUUGCAGGAAGUUGGUUUGGGGCUUGCAGAAAGGAAACACAACAAUCCCUCUGCCUCCACACAAGACGACAGCGAGGGAGCGGAACAGAUACUCCACCCCACUGUUCUCUAAGCUGGAUCUCACUGCAUGUGACUGAAGAAGAUUAUUAGGGUAUUUGUUUGCCAUAAACAUCAUUCUGGAAAUAUUUGCUAAAUAGCCCUUUGACUGUGUUGGUUCCAAAGAUCUGUGUAGAUGGCACGGAUAAAGACCCUCAGAACAGUCAGGGUCAUACUGGGCCAAUGCUGAAACAACAGAGUACAGGUGUGCCCAAGGAUCUUCUGUCUCAUGUUUGAGGAAUAAGGCUGUGAGUCACUUUCGUGGUUCACGAACAUUUAAUCUAGAUGGUAGUUUACGCCAAACAACAGGAACCUUCAUAAAAAAUGGAUUAACUAAAACUAGUAGCAGCAGCUGCCACAAACAGAUAAUAUCAAACACAUUUUAACACAAAGACAUGUUUUUGGCAUGAAGAUUGGCCUCAUACACAAGAGCAGAAUGUGUGCAAAUGAAUGUCAACAUUACAUUAAUUUGAUUUAUAAUUCAUCCAUUACUUGUCAAUGAGCACUCAGAAAAGUUAAGAGUGAAGGUUUCCACCUUAGAAGAAUUCUCAGCAACUUCCAAAAGUUUUUCACUUUUUCCCAUCUCAAACUCCUCAUGUAGGUAUUAAGGAGGUGUGCAGACCUACACAGGUCUGGAUCUCUACGUUUGAGCCCAAAGUGUUCCAAUUCCUCGGAGUCCAGUGGUUUGAGAGAGUACGGCGGAAUGAUAAUUACAGUGGUCUAUUCCUUGGUUUGUUUUGUUUGCCUUGGUUGGCUUGUUGCUUGAUUUAGUAUCCCUUAUUUUGUUUCAUUGUUUGAAAGCUUGAGGUCAAUAUGAAUCAGCAGUAUGCUCCAGCUGGUUCGACACCUCCAGACCGGGCAUGGCUGGAUUUACUCAGAGCCAGGCUUUGCACCCUUACUGGUGUGUACUUACUUGUCUUUUUCCUGUUGCCUUUGGUUACCCGGCUGCCCUAAACUCGCUCAUCAGUUUGGGUGUGUUUAUGUGCCAGCAUGCCCGUGCUGCGAUCAGCUGUUUAAGCUUCUGAGGUUGACUGAGUGAGCGGGCACGUCUCCCCUAUUAUUAUAUCAUACAUGCUGAACAAUUGUCAUAGCCAGUCUAAGCCCUUAUUAUCCCACUCAGAUACAUCAUAUUGCUGUCACUGUUUGAUAUAAUGUAAACUUUGUGGAUUAUUGCACAAGCAUAGUUGUAACCAGCACCGCAGUGAAUGAGUUUAUAAUGGUGAACUAAAAACGCUAGCGGUAUGGAGCUAAUUGCUACAGAGUGUAUGUAGGCCAGGCUUGACAUAGACAUUAUAUGUGUAUAUUAUGUCUAUGGGGAUUAAGCUUCACAUGUAUUAAAUGCAAUAUUCUGUCCAUUUGACAUGGCACAUUGUACUCUUAAACAAGAUAACAAUUUUCUCUCUAAUCUGUUGAGAUUACCUGCUUGCUAUUAGUCAGAGGGACCAAUCCUGAAAAUAUGAUUGGGCAAAUUCUAUCUGCUACCAUGGCAAACAAUCUUGCCUGCAUCUUCAACUGGGCGGGAAAGGGACUUAAAAGGGUCUUCAAGGACAUGUUAAUGCUGGAUUGCAUGUUUGGUGAGUCUGCACAUGAAAUACUGGGUUUACUGCUUUACAACUGAUGUGGAAAUGUUGAUGAUGGGUUUUGAAUUUAAACUUAAACUUAACUUUACAACACCUUUUUUGCUCCCUUUUUGUUUCAGAGGCUGCUCGUCAAUUUGAUCGCAAGUUGACGGAAUUACAAUACAGGGAUACACUGCAGAAGUUGCUGCAUUAUGCACCUGAGAGGAGUGGCAGGGUACCAAGGACAGAAAAGUCAACAAGUUAGAAGGACAAAUGGUUUGGAGUUGGAGGCAUUCAUUGAUUUAAUGUGUUCCAUUCAUGUUGAACUUUGGUCUUACUAGUUAUUAAGGACUGCCUGAUUGCUAUUGCAAUGUUUGAGUCCCCAGGAUUUUUAGGGCAAAUAGAUGGCCAGAUAAUUUACUACUCUGAACUGGGGUCUUAUAGUUUUGAAGGACAUUGACAUGUUUGUGUUCCCUGUAUUUCCCCUGGAAUCUUUAAUAAAUAGCUAAAUGAAUAAUUGUUUUAUUUCUCUUUUCUUUUCUUUUUUGUCAAUAGAGCAUGCAGUUUAGCAGCUGUUCUCAACCUUGGUUUCUUAAAAAAAAAAAAAAGAAAUAUCCAUUACAAGCUCACAACACAUUUUCAAUAUUCACCCAUGACAAAAUUAUAAUCAAGUAUGGGGUCCCCCAAAACAUGUCCCUGUAAAGUUGGAUUUUUGUUUAGAAGGGUUGAGGAUCACUGCAGUAUAGCAUACUAAAGAGACCAUUUCAUAGUAUUAGGCUUCAUCUGUUUUGAAUGUGCCUCGUUCGAAUAAUCGUUUUGAUCCAUGGUGUUUAAAAAUUCUGCAGGGGGUUGUUUCAAACUCCUCUAUUAGUGACAUCGCUGCCACUCAGGCAUAUGGCAGUGAUGUCACUGACUAGUAAACUAUUUUGGCACACUUCUUGUUUAACUAUACCAUAGAGUAAUAAAAGUGGUUAUCUUUUAAUGAGGCAUAUUAAAAACGUACAGAGGAAGGUUGAAAAGUGAUGAAAUGGCCCAUAUAGUCUCAAUGUGUAAUGCAAGGCAUACAGUAUAAAGUUGAAUCAUUGCUGAUGCAAUUCGACAUUAUUUCAAUGUUUCUUUCAUUAUUUCAUAGUUGAUCACAGCGAGCACUUUCAAUGUAUUUUUCGAUGUCAGACAUCAAUGUUGAACACAAUUUUCAGCCUGACAAUAUCUCAGUGUUGAUUUAAUCACUUUUUGAUAUCUGGGCUCUCAGCCAUCAGGGGGCACUACAUGCUGUGGAGGACAUGUGUGAACCAGCUACUCUGGAAAUUUCACAGGCAGAGCUUCCUGUAAGCUUUUUGAAAAUGAUCACUGAUAGAUAGAUAGAUAGAUAGAUAGAUAGAUAGAUAGAUAGAUAGAUAGAUAGAUAGAUAGAUAGAUACAUACAUACAUACAUACAUACAUACAUACAUACAUACAUACAUACAUACAUACAUACAUACAUACAUACAUACAUACAUACAUAGACUUUAUUGAUCCCAAACUGGGAAAUUGUCAAAAUUGCUUGUCCUGAAGAGUUUAUAAGCUGAUGGCAGAGAAGGCUACACAAGGGACCCAGUUUGAGGUUCACUGUCCUGUCCAAGGACUCUUCAGCAUG
rnacentral:lncRNA from 1 species